UACAUGGGGUGCAAACGUUGCUCGGAAUUAUUGGGCGUAAAGCGCACGUAGGCGGUUCGUUAAGUCGGAUGUGAAAGCCCUCGGCUCAACUGAGGAAGUGCACCCGAAACUGGCGAGCUUGAGUACGAAAGAGGAUCGCGGAAUUCCCGGUGUAGAGGUGAAAUGCGUAGAUAUCAGGAGGAACAUCGAUGGCGAAGGCAGCCCCCUUGGACCUGUACUGACGCUCAUGCACGAAAAGCGUGGGGGAGCAAACAGG
rnacentral:rRNA from 1 species